UGAGUAAUAUAUCGGAACGUGCCCAGUUGUGGGGGAUAACUGCUCGAAAGAGCAGCUAAUACCGCAUACGACCUGAGGGUGAAAGCGGGGGAUCGCAAGACCUCGCGCAAUUGGAGCGGCCGAUAUCAGAUUAGGUAGUUGGUGGGGUAAAGGCCUACCAAGCCUACGAUCUGUAGCUGGUCUGAGAGGACGACCAGCCACACUGGGACUGAGACACGGCCCAGACUCCUACGGGAGGCAGCAGUGGGGAAUUUUGGACAAUGGGGGCAACCCUGAUCCAGCCAUGCCGCGUGCGGGAAGAAGGCCUUCGGGUUGUAAACCGCUUUUGUCAGGGAAGAAAAGACUCCUACUAAUACUGGGGGUUCAUGACGGUACCUGAAGAAUAAGCACCGGCUAACUACGUGCCAGCAGCCGCGGUAAUACGUAGGGUGCAAGCGUUAAUCGGAAUUACUGGGCGUAAAGCGUGCGCAGGCGGUUAUGCAAGACAGAUGUGAAAUCCCCGGGCUCAACCUGGGAACUGCAUUUGUGACUGCAUGGCUAGAGUACGGUAGAGGGGGAUGGAAUUCCGCGUGUAGCAGUGAAAUGCGUAGAUAUGCGGAGGAACACCGAUGGCGAAGGCAAUCCCCUGGACCUGUACUGACGCUCAUGCACGAAAGCGUGGGGAGCAAACAGGAUUAGAUAC
rnacentral:rRNA from 1 species